rnacentral:misc_RNA from 1 species
GCAAACUUGGUCAUUUAGAGGAAGUAAAAGUCGUAACAAGGUUUCCGUAGGUGAACCUGCGGAAGGAUCAUUACUGAGACACUGUGCCUCUGGCACAGCUGCCUUUCAAUAACCAGUUGCUUUGGCAGGCAUGGGUCUAUGUGGUGCUGCCAUGUUCAUCCACUGGCUCUCUGCAGAGGCCUGGCCUGCCAGUGGGAAAAGUGAUAUAAUUAUGAAAAUGUUAAAACCUUUGACAAUGGAUCUCUUGGUUCUGGCAUCGAUGAAGAACGCAGC